AUACCUGGCAGGGGAGACACCAUGAUCACAAAGGUGGUUUCCCGGGGCGAGGCUUGGCCAUUGCACUCUGGAUGUGCUAACCCGUGUGAUCUCCCCAAAGGCAGGAAACUCGGCUGCACAAUUUGCGGUCGUGGGGGACUGCGUUCGCGCUCUCCCCUA